GAGCCAUUAGCUCAGUCGGUAGAGCAUCUGACUUUUAAUCAGAGGGUCGCAGGUUCGAACCCUGCAUGGCUCA
rfam:Marinilactibacillus sp. 15R, complete genome.